rnacentral:tRNA from 1 species
GUCUUCGUGGUGUAGUGGUCAACACACUCGGCGCGUAUUCGAGAGGUACGUGGUUCGAAUCCCGGCGAGGGCA